rnacentral:rRNA from 1 species
CAGCCGCCGCGGUAAUACGAAGGGUGCAAGCGUUACUCGGAAUUACUGGGCGUAAAGCGUGCGUAGGUGGUGGUUUAAGUCCGUUGUGAAAGCCCUGGGCUCAACCUGGGAAUUGCAGUGGAUACUGGAUCACUAGAGUGUGGUAGAGGAUAGUGGAAUUUCCGGUGUAGCGGUGAAAUGCGUAGAGAUCGGGAGGAACAUCAGUGGCGAAGGCGGCCAUCUGGGACAACACUGACGCUGAGGCACGAAGGCGUGGGGAGCAAACAGGAUUAGAUACCCCCGUAGUCCCUGUCUCUUAUAC